GUGAGCCUUAGAAUUAUCCCACCUCGCUUAACUUGGGAGGAGGAAGCCACUUUAAAAGGGAGAGCCACCCUUCCCCCAUUGGACUAGUCUUUUGGUGCGAUUGGGCCUUUCCCUAAGUUGGGUGUGCUUAAUAAAUUGUUGGGCUCCGGGCAACCUAACUUGUUGGGCCUCGACCAACCCCACCUGGGCUGGGUGUAUCAUCUGGUAUCAGAGCUAGGGCCCAUUUUAAGAAGGUGGAAAUGAUGAGGACAUCCUCCACUAUUACCCAUUGGCAAAGACGCAAUUGGCCUAGUUGGCCCAAUUGUAGUCGGACAGCGAUUGUGUGAGCCUCAGAAUUAUCCCACCUCGCUUAACUUGGGAGGAGGAAGCCACUUUAAAAGGGAGAGCCACCCUUCCCCCAUUGGACUAGUCUUUUGGGGCGAUUGGGCCUUUCCUUGAGUUGGGUGUGCUUAAUGAACUGUUGGGCUCCGGGCAACCCUAACUUGUUGGACCUUGGCCAACCCCACCUGGGCUGGGUGUAUCACCUAUCAUCUGUGAAAUUGACAUUGUGGAACAUGCCCUGAUGUGAAGUUUGGUUGAUAUUAUGGCCAAAAUCAAACUGUCUGGUGAGAUGCGG
rnacentral:lncRNA from 1 species